rnacentral:tRNA from 3 species
GGUGGGUUCGCAUAAUGGUAGUGCAGCGGUCUUGAAAACCGCCGGGCGAAAGCCUGUGGGGGUUCGAGUCCCUCACCCACCGCAA